rnacentral:rRNA from 1 species
GAUGAACGCUGACAGAAUGCUUAACACAUGCAAGUCCACUGUGGCGGACGGGUGAGUAACGAGUAAAGAACUUGCCUCACAGUUAGGGACAACAUUUGGAAACGAAUGCUCAUAACUGAUACUGUGAGAGAGCUUUGCGUCCCCUUAUCUAGUUGGAGAGGUAACGGCUCACCAAGGCGAUGAUGGGUAGCCGGCCUGAGAGGGUGAUCGGCCACAAGGGGACUGAGACACGGCCCUUACUCCUACGGGAGGCAGCAGUGGGGAAUAUUGGACAAUGGACCAAAGUCUGAUCCAGCAAUUCUGUGUGCACGAUGAAGUUUUCGGAAUGUAAAGUGCUUUCAGUUUGGAAGCGGUACCAACAGAAGAAGUGACUGCUAAAUACGUGCCAGCAGCCGCGGUAAUAC